rnacentral:lncRNA from 1 species
UCCCAGGACACCUCCAGUGAAGACUAGAGGUUUGGAUUUGAUCCUGCAGACAAGAGACAUCUCUAGGCUCUACACAGCAGUCAGCUGUCUCAUCUGAUAUUUUAAAUACAGAGGGAUUGAUAUAAGUGGGUUAAAUAAUCACUUUUACUAAUACCACUAAAGCAAGAAGGACUCUUGGUAGAUUCUUGCAAUAAUCUAGACACAGGAUAAGAUCUAAACAGAGACAGUGUCAGUUGAUGUGUAAACUAAACAUCAGUUGAUGCUGAGUUUCAAAGCUACGGGACAUUUUACCACACAAUGUACUGUGCCUAGGUUCAACCCAGACAGCUCUCAUUUGUGAAGGAGAAAAUAGUGAACGAGACAUUAGAGGAGGCUUGGCCAAGUUUCUCUCAGCUGCCAAACAUUACCUGCCUAACAAAGCAAACAUCUUAUAAGAUUGGGUGAGCUUAUAACUGAGAUAAAGCUAAUCCUCCCAAGGCCUGUUAGUGAAAAAUCAACCCGGCAAGAAGCACAGCCUGGGAGUGCUGAACUCUUCCUACUAUGCGAGGUUCGAGAAAUGCUGCACAAGGAACAUUUGGACGAUGGCGGCUCUGGGAGGCAAUGCUU